rnacentral:lncRNA from 1 species
GGCCCGCGCGGCAUGGCGAACACCUCGUUUUCAGCCCAAACGCAAGGCCGAACAGCCCUGCCGCCCGUCGCCGCGCGCCUCCUCCCGUUUUCCCUCCGUUCCACCUUUACCUUCACUCCAGACAUGCGCUCUAGGUUCGGUGUCUUUCCACACGCUGGGACUUAGCCCGUUUUCGCGGCCGUGGCCGAACCGUUGUUUUCGGCCCGCGCGCCAUGGCGAACCCCUCGUUUUCAGCCCAUACGCAAGGCCGAACAGCCCUGCCGCGCGCCUCCUCCCGUUUUCCCUCCGUUCCACCUUGCCCUUCACUCAAGACAUGCCCUUUAGGUUCGGUGUCUUUCCACACGCUUGGACUUAGCUUAUUUUCGAGUUCGUGCCCGAGCCUCCGUUUUCGGCCCGUGCGCCAUGGCGAACACCUCGUUUUCAGCCCAGACGCAAGGCCGAACGGCCCUGCCGCCCGUCGUCGCGUGCCUCCGUGUCGUUUUCCCUCCGUUCCACUGUGCCCUUCACCCAAGACAUACACAUUAGCAUCGGUGUCUUUCUACACGCUUGGACUUAGCUUAUUUCCGAGGUCGUGCCCCAGCCGCCGUUUUCGGCCCGCGCGCCAUGGCGAACGCCUCGUUUUCAGCCCAAACGCAAGGCCGAACAGCCAUGCCGCCCGUCGCCACGCGCCUCCUCCCGUUUUCCCUCCGUUCCACCUUGACCUUCACUCCAGACAUGCACUUUAGGUUCGGUGUCUGUCCACAUGCUUGGACUUAGCUAAUUUUCGAGGUCGUGCCCGAGACUCCGUUUUCGGCCCGUGCGCCAUGGCGAACACCUCGUUUUCAGCCCAAACGCAAGGACGAACAGCCCUGCCGCCCGUCGCCCCGCGCCUCCGUGCCCGAGCCUCGGUUCGUCGCGUGCCUCCGUGUCGUUUUCCCUCCGUUCCACUGUGCCCUUCACCGAAGAAAUACACUUUAGAUUCGGUGUCUUUCCACAUGCUUGGACUUAGCUUAUUUUCGAGUUCGUGCCCGAGCCUCCGUUUUCGGCCCGUGCGCCAUGGCGAACACCUCGUUUUCAGCCCAGACGCAAGGCCGAACAGCCAUGCCGCACGCCUCUGUGUCGUUUUCCCUCAGUUCCAACGUGCCCUUCACUCAAGCCAUACAUACACCUUAGCUUCGUUGUCUUUCCAUUCCACAUGCUUGGACUUAGCUUAUUUUCGGGGUCGUGCCCGAACCUUACUUUUCGCCCCCUGCGCCAUGGGCGAACCCCUCGUUUUCGGCCCAAACGCAAGGCCGAACAGCCAUGCCGCCCGACGUCGCGCGCCUCCGUGUCGUUUUGCCUCCGUUCCACCGUGCCCUUCACUCAAGACUUACACAUUAGCUUUGGUGUCUUUCUACACGCUUGGACUUAGCUUAUUUCCGAGGCCGUGGCCGAACCGUUGUUUUCGGCCCGCGCGCCAUGGCGAACGCCUCGUUUUCAGCCCAAACGCAAGGCCGAACAGCCAUGCCGCCCGUCGCCGCGCGCCUCCGUGCCCGAGCCUCCGUUCGUCGCGUGCCUCCGUGUCGUUUUCCCUCCGUACCACUGUGCCCUUCACCAAAGACAUACACUUUAUGUUCGGUGUCUUUCCACACGCUGGGACUUAGCCCACGUUUUCGCGGUCGUGGCCGAGCCUCCGUUUUCGGCCCGUGCGCCAUGGCGAACACCACGUUUUCAUCCCAGACGCAAGGCCGAAUAGCACUGCCGCCCGUCCCCGCGCGCCUCCUCCCGUUUUCCCUCCGUUCCACCUUGCCCUUCACUCAAGCCAUACAUACACCUUAGCUUCGUUGUCUUUCCAUUCCACACGCUUGGACUUAGCUUAUUUUCGGGGUCGUGCCCGGGCCUCAGUUUUCGGCCCGUGCGCCAUGGGCGAACCCCUCAUUUUCGGCCCAGACGCAAGGCCGAACAGCCAUGCCGCCCGUCGCCUUGCGCCUCCGUGCCGUUUUCCCUCCGUUCCGCCAUGCCCUUCACCCAAGACAUACAUAUUACCUUCGGUGUCUUUCCACACGCUUGGACUUAGCUUAUUUCCGGGGCCAUGCCCGAAACUCGGUUUUCGGCACGUGCGCCAUGGGCGAACCCCUCGUUUUCGGCCCAAACGCAAGGCCGAACAGCCAUGCCGCCCCGUCGCCAUCCUACCCUUCACCCAAGGCAUACGUAGCAGCUUCGGUGUCUUUCCACACGCUGGGACUUAGCUUUUUUUUGGUCGUGCACGAACCCACGGCGGUCUUCGGCCACGCUGCGCCUUGGCCAUUUCCGUCCGGAAGACCGGUGCCCCUCUUCCGUGGGUUCGAAACCUAGUCGCUAGGCGGUGCGUAGAGUGGGGGGGAGGGACGAAUCCGUGCGACGCGGGGCUGGAUCUCAGUGGAUCGUGGCAGCAAGGCCACUCUGCCACUUACAAUGCCCCGUCGCGUUUUAAGUCGUCUGCAAAGGAUUCAGUGUCACACCCGGUUUUGGAAGGUAAACCGAAUGCGAACCAUGUACGUGCCAGGAUCAGAACUCACAUACAUAGCGAUUACAUAAAUGACUCAUCAUAGCACAAUGCUUCGAAUAACAAUAAAGGGUAAGUAAUAAUAUGAAAGACUAGAGUCAUUUACAUAAUAUAAUCAAAGUACACAGAAUAGAAACGUAGCCAACGUAAACAACCCACCACAGGCAGCUGACUGGGGGAGGUCGCUAGCCUAAUCCUCGAACUUCGAAGUCCUGGAACUCCUGGAGAUCCGCCUCGACACCUUCUUUACUUGAGCAUAGAUUGCACCAAAGGCAACCUGGUGUUUUGUGAAAGCAAGGGUGAGUACACAUCAACGUACUCAGCAAAUGUCCCGUUUGGCUAAAGUGGACUAGCUUUAUAUGGGGUUAAGCUCAAGCAGUUGCUUUUAGUUGGUCAGGUAUUUAUUACUAGUAGAAGCCAAGUUUUAUCAUAUACCCAACCCGUGAACCUUUUCCUCAUCGAGGAACAUCAUUAUCAUCAUCGAACCAAAAUAUUAAAUAGAACCAUUAUAUAUAUUGAACCAUCUGUAUCUCUAAUCAAAGAGGAUCCCAAGGCCGCUCAUAACCGUGAGCACGGCUGAUAUAUCAGUUUCUAACCCUCUGCAGAGGUCGCACACUUUACCCAUGAGCCGUGAUUCCCGUUUUGCCCGGGGAUCAUGACUCCCCAUUGAUCACUUCCUAGGUGGUCCGGCAGGGUAUCACUACGUAGCUUUUACAAAGAUUCCCUAGAGGUCAUAGCCGCCCAUUAGGUUUCUCCAGUUUGAUAAACACAGUACCUCUCCCCGAAGGGGGUGACUAACAAAAACAAAACGAAAGAACCUCGGCACCCAGCCUCGGCAGAGCAAGCACUGUGCCUGGACCCCAUUGACGGCACGACGGCGAAGCAACUACACCUCUAGUUCCUCUAAUUAAUUAGCUAAGGGCGCCCCAUUUCACCCUCAUGGUUGCACUGUUAUCCCGGGUGGUCUCUCAACGAACAGGUCCUUACGGAGAGGUACUCGGGAAACAGCCCAAGUCCCCUAAAUGCCACAAGUAUAUCAUCAUAUCCAGAAUAAAAUCAUAGUAUCAUCAUUGUAUCUCAUCAUGUUCAUUGAUUAAAGUAAAGCGCUAGCAUGUAGCUAACCAUAGUAACCCAAAAGGUAAAUCAAGGACCAGGUAAAUAGAAAGCUAGUAAAUCCUUAGGUUGUUCAUAGUAUGCGAGACAGUGUAUUAUAAAGUAAAUGGGACAUAAUGGGUCAGAGGACACUUGCCUUCACCAAACAGAUGCUCAGGGUCUUCAACUUUGUGGAACUCGAAGAGCUAGAUCACUUGGUCGCCGAAGCUUGACCGUCGAUUCCUCGAAGCUCAGGAACAGAUCGCAAUCUAUUCGCGUUGCACAGCGAAUACAAACAGGUACAAACAAACAACCAUAUAUAUGCAUAAGAACAUUACACCAUUCAAGUAAAACAUAAUAAAAUACGGAAAAUAAAAUAGAGUGUGUUACUACGGUCACACGAGGACAAAGAAACGCGACGGUCAAGGCUACGGUCGAUAAGUUAUCAUGUUUACGCUUAAACGAAUAUGAACUAGGACAUUUAAUUCGGCGUUAUCAAAUAUAAAUUACAUCUACUAUUUAGUUUUGAUUAAAUAUGCUACACUAACCGUUGUCAAAUAAAUAAGUAAUAUAAUUAGCACGAGAGAUUCUAAAUGAGGCGAGUUUACGAUACGCGAAACAACACGACAGCGUGCAAACGACGUGCGGACACGCGCGACAUAGCACGCUGACGACACCUGAAAUAGUGCGCGCGACCAACGCGAAUGACGAGCGAAUCAGCACACGACCAGGACGAGUAGAAAUGGGCUUACGACGCAUUAUAUAACAAAUAACUGGCCAUCUGCGGCUAACAAACGACGCGACCAACGAAUACUACUAGAUUAUGAUUAAACGCACAAAGCUAUAUUUCUAGGUUGAUUUUAGUUCAUAUAAAUUAUUUGCACAAGAUAUUUUAGAUAAACUGAAUUAUCAAUUAGUCAAUGGCUAAACAAGAAUUAAUUAAUAAGCAUGAACGAUUGAUUAAAUAACGUGCGCGGAUUGCGCACGACACACGUGAAUGGACGGUGACGGCGCACGUGAAUGGCACGCGAACAGCAACAACGACACAUGCGAAUAGCAUGAGCGACACACGAGAAACAAUAACAGAUGUCGCGAUUAUGCUAAACAAGCAUUAAUUCGAGAACAUUCGAGGUGAUAUUAAUCAUGCUAACAUUUAUUAUAAACGUACAAAUUAAAACUACAGAUUAGUUUUAAUUAGAAAUCUAUUUUAAUAACCAAUGUAAACAAAUAAUUAAUUACAUACAUAAAACAUGCUUCAUGACAUAAUAGUGUUUCUAACGCGUUGGUGAUAUUAUUACAAUUUUAGUGCAACUUAAAUGGGUUUAUGACACAAAUUAGAUUGAAUAAAUAGUGUUCGUGGAUUAUUCACGACAUUAUGACAUGACACGAUUUAAUUGGUCAAAAG